CACCGCGGUUAUACGAGAGACCCAAGUUGUUAGACACCGGCGUAAAGUGUGGUUAAGAUUCUAAUACAAAGCUAAAGCCGAACACCUUCAAAGCUGUUAUACGCACCCGAAGGUAAGAAGACCAAUUACGAAGGUAGCUUUAACUCUAUCCGACUCCACGAAAGCCAGGAAA
rnacentral:rRNA from 1 species